GACGAACGCUGGCGGCGUGCUUAACACAUGCAAGUCGUACGGUAAGGCCCUUUCGGGGGUACACGAGUGGCGAACGGGUGAGUAACACGUGAGUAACCUGCCCACAACUUUGGGAUAACGCUAGGAAACUGGUGCUAAUACUGGAUAUGUGCUCCUGCUGCAUGGUGGGGGUUGGAAAGCUCCGGCGGUUGUGGAUGGACUCGCGGCCUAUCAGCUUGUUGGUGGGGUAGUGGCCUACCAAGGCGGCGACGGGUAGCCGGCCUGAGAGGGUGACCGGCCACAUUGGGACUGAGAUACGGCCCAGACUCCUACGGGAGGCAGCAGUGGGGAAUAUUGCACAAGGGGCGCAAGCCUGAUGCAGCAACGCCGCGUGCGGGAUGACGGCCUUCGGGUUGUAAACCGCUUUCAGCAGGGACGAAGCUUUUUGUGACGGUACCUGCAGAAGAAGCACCGGCUAACUACGUG
rnacentral:rRNA from 1 species